rnacentral:lncRNA from 1 species
GUCGUUUACUGGCUUCUAAUGCAGUCUCCCACGGCUCAGGCCAUUUAGCACCAAUUUUUUCGCAUAAAGCCGUAAACCACCUGAAUUCUACAAGGAUUUUAAACAUACUUUUCGUAAACGUCAGCCUCGUUUGUUCAGCGACGGCUUGUCAUCGAUUUUGUGACGGCCAAAAGUGCCGUUUGUUGUCAGGCGCACCACAAAGAUCGUCGGAAUGUUAAGAGGCAUCAAGUGUGCGUCUCUUCAAAAGCGCGAGAAUUUUAAACCUACUGUUACUAGGGAUCGAGCGCAACUUCAGCCGAUUGGCAGAUACUAUCAACAGCUAUAUUUCAGAUGUUUCUCGUAGCUAUAUGUGUUGUUGUUAUCAGUGUUGGGUUUUACGAAGAACGAAUGAGAACAUGGACGGAACUAAUGGGCAAUGUUGUUGUGAGAUCAUCUGAAGGGGAUCAACCAUAGCGGCUACAGAGGCUUCAACUAUCGGAGAACUACAACACGCGAAGCAGUCGAAGAGCAAAGCACCGGACGGUUUAA